rnacentral:rRNA from 1 species
CUACGGGACGCUGCAGUGAGGAAUAUUGCACAAUGGGGGGAACCCUGAUGCAGCAACGCCGCGUGGAGGAUGACGCAUUUCGGUGUGUAAACUCCUUUUAUAUGUCAAGAAAAUGACGGUAGCAUAUGAAUAAGCACCGGCUAACUCCGUGCCAGCAGCCGCGGUAAUACGGAGGGUGCAAGCGUUACUCGGAAUCACUGGGCGUAAAGGACGCGUAGGCGGGUUGGAAAGUCAGGUGUGGAAUCCUACAGCUUAACUGGAGAACUGCACUUGAAACUUCUAAUCUAGAGUAUGGGAGGGGGAGAUGGAAUUAGUGGUGUAGGGGUAAAAUCCGUAGAUAUCACUAGGAAUACCUAAAGCGAAGGCGAUCUCCUGGAACAUUACUGACGCUAAGGCGUGAAAGCGUGGGGAGCAAACAGGAUUAGAUACCCUUGUAGUC